rnacentral:rRNA from 1 species
GAUGAACGCUAGCGGCAGGCCUAAUACAUGCAAGUCGAACGGUGUCUUCGGACAUAGUGGCGCACGGGUGCGUAACACGUAUGCAACCUACCUUACAUUGGGGGAUAGCCUUUCGAAAGGGAGAUUAAUACCGCAUAAGACAGUAGCUGGGCAUCCAGCAGCUGUUAAAGAUUUAUCGAUGUAAGCUGGGCAUGCGUCCAAUUAGCUAGUUGGUGAGGUAACGGCUCACCAAGGCAAUGAUUGGUAGGGGAACUGAGAGGUCAAUCCCCCACACUGGCACUGAGAUACGGGCCAGACUCCUACGGGAGGCAGCAGUGGGGAAUUUUGGACAAUGGGGGCAACCCUGAUCCAGCCAUGCCGCGUGAGUGAAGAAGGCCUUCGGGUUGUAAAGCUCUUUCAGCCGGGAAGAAAUCGCAUGGGUUAAUACCCUGUGCGGAUGACGGUACCGGAAUAAGAAGCACCGGCUAACUACGUGCCAGCAGCCGCAGUAAAAC